rfam:Schistosoma curassoni strain Dakar, Senegal genome assembly, scaffold: SCTD_contig0012647
CAACUGCUGUGGAGUCCCACAAUAAGACGAAACAGCCGUCCAGUGU